AGAGCGAACGCUGGCGGCAGGCCUAAUACAUGCAAGUCGAACGAACCCUUCGGGGUGAGUGGCGGACGGGUGAGUAACACGUGGGAACGUACCCUUUGGUUCGGAACAACUCAGGGAAACUUGAGCUAAUACCGAAUGUGCCCUUCGGGGGAAAGAUUUAUCGCCAUUGGAGCGGCCCGCGUCUGAUUAGCUUGUUGGUGGGGUAAAGGCCCACCAAGGCAACGAUCAGCAGCUGGUCUGAGAGGAUGAUCAGCCACACUGGGACUGAGACACGGCCCAGACUCCUACGGGAGGCAGCAGUAGGGAAUCUUGCGCAAUGGGCGAAAGCCUGACGCAGCCAUGCCGCGUGAAUGAUGAAGGUCUUAGGAUUGUAAAAUUCUUUCAGCGGGGACGAUAAUGACGGUACCCGCAGAAGAAGCCCCGGCUAACUUCGCGCCAGCAGCCGC
rnacentral:rRNA from 1 species